GGACGAGAAGCUAAAGGUGAAAGUCAACACAGGCAAGAAAAGGGUGGUAGAGAGCCAAACAGUGAGAAGUGCGGGGGCUGUUGUUACGGUGCUCAAGAGAGGGCUGCUGGCCUGAGGAGCAGCAAUGGCCACGGGAUCAGCCAUAAAGGAUCAACCUGGCCCCUCUUUCUGGUUUUCUUCUCUGAAGAUUGGCUUGCGUCGUCUGCUUGGCAACAUUUUUCAGACUGCUGGCUAUUAGCAGACAGAGCAUGCGCAGAAGAAGUCGAGCCAACUGGGAAACGGCGCUUUGGGGCUGGGGGUCAACUCCAGACAGUGGGACAGGCCAGAGCACGUCGUGGGGGUCACUCCCCUCAAGGAAGUUUCCCACAGCUGGGGACACUACGUCCUUGAACCCUACAGCAUGGUUCACUAUUCCACUCCAUCAGACAAGGUUAAGAUCUCCUGCCUGAGGUCUCUCUCUGCAAAGACGUGAAGGCCUAGCAUAAUCAAUUCUUAUCGAUGAAGGAUGGCUUCUCUACACGUGAGGACUCUUACUCAGGAAGUUACCACCUCCACAUGCUGGUUACAGGGACUUCAAGAGCCAAGUGGCUGAGCAGACUCAGGCUCAUAGCUGGCACCCAACACUGUCCACAGCAGCCUUGUGGCCUCCGCCUGAUUUCUGAACUUGUUUUCAGCCUCUAUGUGAAAGAUUUUCUCACUCGGUCUUCAGCAAAUCCCAGUGGGAGUCCACACCACUCCUACCUUACCUCCAUACUGGAAUCGCUUUAGAUAACAGCCCAUUGAGUGUGAUGGAACAGCAAGGGC
rnacentral:lncRNA from 1 species